rnacentral:rRNA from 1 species
UACGUAGGGUGCGAGCGUUGUCCGAAUUACUGGGCGUAAAGAGCUCGUAGGUGGUUUGUCGCGUUGUUCGUGAAAACCGGGGGCUUAAACCCUCGGCGUUGCGGGCGAUACGGGCAGACUUGAGUACUGCAGGGGAGACUGGAAUUCCUGGGUGUAGCGGUGGAAAUGCGCAGAUAUCAGGAGGAACACCGGUGGCGAAGGCGGGUCUCUGGGCAGUACUGACGUGAGGAGCGAAAGCGUGGGGAGCGAACAGGAUUAGAACCUCCG